rnacentral:rRNA from 1 species
CGGACGGGUGAGUAAUGUCUGGGAAACUGCCCGAUGGAGGGGGAUAACUACUGGAAACGGUAGCUAAUACCGCAUAACGUCGCAAGACCAAAGAGGGGGACCUUGGGCCUCUUGCCAUCGGAUGUGCCCAGAUGGGAUUAGCUAGUAGGUGGGGUAACGGCUCACCUAGGCGACGAUCCCUAGCUGGUCUGAGAGGAUGACCAGCCACACUGGAACUGAGACGCGGUCCAG